UGAGUAAUACAUCGGAACGUGUCUUCUAGUGGGGGAUAACUGCCCGAAAGGGCAGCUAAUACCGCAUGAGACCUGAGGGUGAAAGCGGGGACCGCAAGACCUCGCGCUGGAAGAGCGGCCGAUGUCCGAUUAGCUAGUUGGUGAGGUAAAGGCUCACCAAGGCGACGAUCGGUAGCUGGUCUGAGAGGACGACCAGCCACACUGGGACUGAGACACGGCCCAG
rnacentral:rRNA from 1 species